GGGGAUGGAGUAGCUGGUGAAUGAAAUGCCCUAAAACAUGUGUAGGAGCAUGAGUGAAAUUCUGCUGGUGAAAGGCUGAAUGGCACUUGAGAUAGAAAUUUUAAGCUUCUGAUUUUCAGAUCAGUAAAUUCAGCCUGUCUUAUCGUAUCAAUAUUCUAAUCUUCUCUGCACCUUCGGAUUACUCAUGACCAAAAAUGCAAGAACGUUUUCCAUAUUAGUUUAAAACCCAAUAUCUAUUGUCUUCUUCAAUUGUUUAGUUUUAUGUGAGCUUAUCCUACCAUCAUGGCAUUAUUUUUAGUUCUUUUAUGUAUUUGGUACCACCUUUUUGAAUUAUCUUAGGUUUGGAGGACACAUCAAUCCUGACUAUGUAUUAUGGUGAGCCUAUGGCUCUUUUACAUCAUAUCAGAAUAUCUGGAUUUAGUCUUGUUGAGAAGAGGAGAACAUAGCUCCUUUUUUCAAGAUACCGGGAUUAAAAUAUCAAGAGGGUGAGUCUCGGCACAACAAUAAGGUUGCUCCAUUAUGACCCAAGUAUCACAUGUUCAAAACAUGAAAGUAGCCCUCUGCACAUGGGGUAAAGCUUAGCGCAUGUGAUGCUCCCCAGAUGUUGCAGUGGCAGGAGUCUCGGGAGAUGGCCUUUUUUAGGAAUAAAAUGAUAAAUUAUAUAUAGUAUGUGUAGCCAUCCAGUUUUUCAAUCAAGUUUCUUUUCGCCUGGUGUAGUUAUUGUCCUAGAGGCACAACCUAACUCGAAAGAUAAUAUUUCUUCAAAAGAAGAAAGAAGAGGGGGAGAGGGAGCACAUUUAGCACAUAGAAAUGGAUCUGCCAUUUUUGUUAUGUAAAAUGGGUUUGCAUCUGAAAACUGUUUAUUAAUGGGGUGGAGUCGUCAUGUUAUUGAUGAAGGAUGUAAUGCUGUGUGGCAUCUGAUCUGGUUUCCUUCUUCUUUUUGGGGUUUGGGGGUAGGGGAGGAUUUUCUCCUCCUUUUUUCCACUUUGGGUUUGUGCGUGCAGGUGGGUGGGUAGGUUGAGGCGUUUUGGUUGGUGG
rnacentral:lncRNA from 1 species